rnacentral:rRNA from 1 species
GACGAGCGCUGGCGGCGUGCUUAACACAUGCAAGUCGAACGGAAAGGCCCUGCUUUUGUGGGGUGCUCGAGUGGCGAACGGGUGAGUAACACGUGAGUAACCUGCCCUUGACUUUGGGAUAACUUCAGGAAACUGGGGCUAAUACCGGAUAGGAGCUCCUGCUGCAUGGUGGGGGUUGGAAAGUUUCGGCGGUUGGGGAUGGACUCGCGGCUUAUCAGCUUGUUGGUGGGGUAGUGGCUUACCAAGGCUUUGACGGGUAGCCGGCCUGAGAGGGUGACCGGCCACAUUGGGACUGAGAUACGGCCCAGACUCCUACGGGAGGCAGCAGUGGGGAAUAUUGCACAAUGGGCGGAAGCCUGAUGCAGCAACGCCGCGUGCGGGAUGACGGCCUUCGGGUUGUGAACCGCUUUCGCCUGUGACGAAGCGUGAGUGACGGUAAUGGGUAAAGAAGCACCGGCUAACUACGUG